rnacentral:lncRNA from 10 species
AGGAGGAAAUAAAAUACCCUGAGCCAGGGAUGUGGGGGACGAGCCAGAACCCAGAGAUGCUCCCAGGGAGGAGAUGGUGCUGCCGGCAGCUCGUGUUUAUUGAGCAUUCACUGCAGCCACGUGCUCCUCCAGAUACUUGAACCCUCCCUCCGCCAGGCAGGUCCCACCCUUGUCCUCCCUGUGCAGUUUAGGGAGCAGACACCAGCAGAAGCUUAGUCACAGCCCAAAGCUCCCAUGCUAUGCAAACGCGUCUCCAUGAGGAAGAGCAAGGCUCCUGCAGGAUGGAGAUCAGAUGGAUCAGGGAUCCCACAGACAGAACCUUUUGCCUGAUAUGAGCACCCUUGGGAGAGACCUCUUCACACAAAUGUUCCUUGCAAGGAAAACACUCCUGCCUCACUUUCUUCAACCCAGCCAUGACCUUUCUUGGGACAGGGUCACACCAGGGUUACAGCAUCUGCCUCCCAGCCUCCCAGCUGGCCAGCCCUUCUGCAGUGGCUCAGCCGCAGACCCCUCCUGCACACCACAGCCAAAAACGAUUCUGCCAGGACUACAGCAUCCCGUGAAACUGACGCUUAAUGAUGCAGAACUCCACGUUUCCUGUCGUCAACUUGUCAUCAUUUUCCUUCCCAGAACCCCCAGCACCUCUGACACCGACCUGGAUCUCUACUCCAGAAACUCAAAACCCAUUUUUGCCACACCGUCACGCUAGCUCUCCUUUGCUCCCCUAAUCCAGGUCCCCGUUUCUCUGCACCUGUGCCCACCACCGGGAAUCUCUCCUGUUAAGUCGCCUCCUCCAUCCCGCCUUCUCCUGACCCCGUUGGCCCAUGCGUCUUUGAACUUUUGCAGAAUUUGCAUCUGUAACAAAUUACUUGCUAUUUAAUUAUGUUCUGUCAUAUUAUUCCUGUUGAAUUUGGCUGAGAACCAUGCGCUCCUUGAAAGCAGAAACUGUCUUUGUUGUUCUGUGUCCUGAUUCAACCCACUAGCCCCAGAGCACGUCUGCAGGAAAGGCCUUCUAAGCUCAGGUCAUCAAGCUCCUCCCAACUGCACUCUUUUACUUCUGUUUUUCCAAGUCGAUCUUUUUUUAAAAAAAAACAAAAAACUUAAAUGAAUUCAUUAUUAAAAAAACUUUUUAUCACCUCCAGAAAUGGAAAACUGUAUCAUUUGCCAUCAGUAGAAUUUGGCUGUAAAAGCAAAUUCCAUGUAAACAGAACAAUGCUGUUGGGUCCUACUUCCUCAGUCUGAGACCUGCUCUUUCUCCCGUGGUCAUGGAGACUCCAAGUUCUAAAGACAUACUAGGAACAGAGAGCAGCUUUUAUUGUAUCCAGAAGAAGAGAGACAGAAAAAAACAGAACCACCUGAAAAGUGAACAACUUCCUCACUCUGUGAUUGGCAGUUGUUGAAUCCAGUGAACAGGCACCACCAAAGAUCACCCUCAGCCCACACCUCAGGACCCUCUGGUACAGACUCCAAAAUCUACCACUUACUGUGUGAGUUCCAAGUAACAAACUCUGAGUAUUAUCUUAUUUAACUCACUCUGGGGUGAGUUCUCUAAGGAAGAACCCAUUAUUAUCCCGCUUUCCAGAUGAGGAAACUGAACAUAGCAGGAGAAAGAAGCUUGACCACAACCACACAGUAGUAAGUGACUAAGUCAGGACCCAGUGAGGAUAAACAGUCAUCCUAAGUUUUAUAAGACAGAAAAUUUAAUUACAGGGACUUCCUAGAUGGUAGAAGAGCCAAAACGUCAGACAAGGGACAUUGAGGCAACCCUGGUGUCCACAGCAUCAGGAAGUGGCUACCACCUCUCAGAUGCACAAGGAAGGAGGCAGUUAUCAGAGCCCAGGAAUCAGACUCACUGAAGGGAAGCUAGAACCAGGGUGGGUCUCUGUGGCAGGAGCUGGCUUGUAGAAGGAAAGAGCCUCCAGGCAAGACAGCCCAACAAACAGAGUCAAGAAGCCCACCCAGACUCCUGUACACACCCAUGUCCCUCCAGGCUUCCCAUUGGUCCAACCCAGUCAGAAGCCAGAGACACAGGAACCCGGGGCUCAUAGCCUGCAGAGGCCAGACCCCCCAUGAUACAGGGCAGAGCAGGGGUGGAUGGGAGGAGGGGGAUGCUUUGAGACCACCAGGCACAGGCUCACCCAGGUGGUCUUAUUCUGGGGUCUUUUCACUCACACAAACCAUGUUGUAGUUGACUAUUGGAUUUCAUGAGAUAAGAGUUCAUGUGUGUUCUUCCCCAUUCCAAGAAGAGGUGGGCUCUUCCUACUUCCUAGCUACCUGCAGCUACCUGGAGCUUUCUUCUAACAUCUAGGGAGUCCCUGUAAGUAAAUUUUCUGUUUUAAAACUGUUUAAAGUUGUCUGAAGACAAUUUUUCCUCCACUCUUUUAAGCCCAUUGAAAAGGUAGUGCAAAGUUUCCCGGAGUAAGAGAGGUGAAGGGGAAGUGGAAUUGUGUUUCUUGGAUUGAGAACAGAUCUGAGGUUCACGGAGCCUGUGGGCAGGGGUUACCUGCGUCU